rnacentral:rRNA from 1 species
UACAGAGGGUGCAAACGUUGCUCGGAAUUACUGGGCGUAAAGCGCGUGUAGGCGGUUUUAUAAGUCCGACGUGAAAGCCCAGGGCUCAACCCUGGAAGUGCGUUGGAUACUGUGAAGCUGGAGUCCUGAAGAGGAGAGCGGAAUUCCCGGUGUAGAGGUGAAAUUCGUAGAUAUCGGGAGGAACACCUGUGGCGAAGGCGGCUCUCUGGGCAGGUACUGACGCUGAGACGCGAAAGCGUGGGGAGCAAACAGGAUUAGAUACCCUGGUAGUCCACGCUGUAAACGAUGAGAACUAGCCGUUGCGGGUAUUGACCCCCGCAGUGGCGAAGCUAACGCGUUAAGUUCUCCGCCUGGGAAGUACGGCCGCAAGGCUAAA